rnacentral:rRNA from 1 species
AGCGGCGAACGGGUGAGUAACACGUGGGUGAUCUGCCCUGCACUUCGGGAUAAGCCUGGGAAACUGGGUCUAAUACCGGAUAUGACCUCCUAUCGCAUGGUGGGUGGUGGAAAGAUUUAUCGGUGCAGGAUGGGCCCGCGGCCUAUCAGCUUGUUGGUGGGGUAAUGGCCUACCAAGGCGACGACGGGUAGCCGACCUGAGAGGGUGACCGGCCACACUGGGACUGAGACACGGCCCAGACUCCUACGGGAGGCAGCAGUGGGGAAUAUUGCACAAUGGGCGAAAGCCUGAUGCAGCGACGCCGCGUGAGGGACGACGGCCUUCGGGUUGUAAACCUCUUUCAGCAGGGACGAAGCGCAAGUGACGGUACCUGCAGAAGAAGCACCGGCUAACUACGUGCCAGCAGCCGCGGUAAUACGUAGGGUGCAAGCGUUGUCCGGAAUUACUGGGCGUAAAGAGUUCGUAGGCGGUUUGUCACGUCGUUUGUGAAAACUCACAGCUCAACUGUGAGCCUGCAGGCGAUACGGGCAGACUUGAGUACUGCAGGGGAGACUGGAAUUCCUGGUGUAGCGGUGAAAUGCGCAGAUAUCAGGAGGAACACCGGUGGCGAAGGCGGGUCUCUGGGCAGUAACUGACGCUGANGAACGAAAGCGUGGGUAGCGAACAGGAUUAGAUACCCUGGUAGUCCACGCCGUAAACGGUGGGCGCUAGGUGUGGGUUCCUUCCACGGAAUCCGUGCCGUAGCUAACGCAUUAAGCGCCCCGCCUGGGGAGUACNGCCGCAAGGCUAAACUCAAAGGAAUUGACGGGGGCCCGCACAAGCGGCGGANCAUGUGGAUUAAUUCGAUGCAACGCGAAGAA